rnacentral:rRNA from 1 species
GACGAACGCUGGCGGCGUGCUUAACACAUGCAAGUCGAACGGUGAAGCCCUUCGGGGUGGAUCAGUGGCGAACGGGUGAGUAACACGUGGGCAAUCUGCCCUGCAUUCUGGGACAAGCCUUGGAAACGAGGUCUAAUACCGGAUACGACGCAUCUCCGCAUGGGGUGUGCGUGGAAAGCUCCGGCGAUGCAGGAUGAGCCCGCGGCCUAUCAGCUUGUUGGUGGGGUAAUGGCCUACCAAGGCGACGACGGGUAGCCGGCCU